ACGUGCUGCCUUUGAGCCCCUGCUGCACCUGCACGUGGCGCCGGGGGUCAGGCUGCGCCAGAGCACGCGAUUGCGCACGACUGGGGCCGCCUACUCCUCGCCGGCAGCCCUUUUAACCGCUAGCGACAAGG
rnacentral:snoRNA from 1 species